AGUCUAAAGUCGUAACUAAGGUCUCCGUUGGUGAACCAGCGGAGGGAUCAUUAUAGAGGUUAUAAAAACUCCAAAACCCAUGUGAACAUACCUAUUGUUGCCUCGGCAGGUCGUGCUACCCUGUAGGAACUUACCCUGUAAGAACCUACCCGGUAGUACAUACCAGGCCUGCCCAAGGACCCAAAACUCUUGUUAUAAUUGGAACUCUGAGUAACUAUAUAAUAAGUUAA
rnacentral:misc_RNA from 1 species